CCCCACCUCACCCCCUGCAUCUUUUAAUUCAUUUUUGAUUCACAUUUGCUUGGUAAUACUUUGGGGAGUUUUAUUCAUUUUUAAAAGCGAUAUUGAAAUUCUUUAUCCAGUGAAAUUUUCCAAACCUUUGUUGAUGGAGAAACUACAAAGAAGAUUCUGCAUAGUUGGUCAAAAGGUCUUUCGUCCAUCCAUUGCCUAGCAAGGCCUUCAUACAACUUCAGCCAAUUGAUACAAAUGUGGUGGAAUUUCUUUUCUGGACAGAAUCCUCGAAACCCUUUCCUUUCGUCCUGGCCAUGGGAAACAUGCAGCAGAUCUCUCAAUCUUUUGUAAUUAUUAAUGGCAAGCUCUGGAACAAAGCACACAACUUGCAGCUGUUGAUGUAUGUUUUAAGCGAGGGGAAAACUAGAUUAGAAAACUAAACUGGAAAAAUGGGGGGGGGCAUCAGGACUGCCUGCAUAGGGACCUUGUGCUACGCCCCUGCACACCAAUGUAGAGUACAACCUUGGGUCAGCUAUCGAAUCAAUAAGCCCCUUGCUACCCCUUAGCCACACUGUCAAAGAAAACCCAAGUUUAACUUACCAAAUAAGAGCCCUGAGUAUUGUCUACUCUUUUGAGGAGAGUUCUGAUGCUACAACCUCUUACUUAUUCACCAUGAAAACCAGUGUUAAGCAAAGUGAAAAAUCCUUCAGCGCUUUGCUACGAGAAGAACUCUCUCAGAUCUCAAGCUCCUUAGUUGCAGAUUAGGUGGAUGAGGAUGAGCCAGUGCUUGAUGAGCUGAAUUAUGUCAGAGAAGAGAAUGUUCCCAAGAUCAAUGUCCAGAGACCUAGUCCCAUUUUGAAUGUGC